UACGUAGGGUGCAAGCGUUAAUCGGAAUUACUGGGCGUAAAGCGUGCGCAGGCGGUUUUGUAAGUUUGUCGUGAAAUCCCCGGGCUCAACCCGGGAACUGCGUCCGAUACUGGAAGGCUUGAAUCCGGGAGAGGGAUGCGGAAUUCCAGGUGUAGCGGUGAAAUGCGUAGAUAUCUGGAGGAACACCGGUGGCGAAGGCGGCAUCCUGGACCGGUAUUGACGCUGAGGCGCGAAAGCCAGGGGAGCAAACGGG
rnacentral:rRNA from 1 species